rnacentral:rRNA from 1 species
GAUGAACGCUGGCGGCGUGCUUAACACAUGCAAGUCGAACGAAGCACUUAAGAUUGCUUCUUCGGAUGACGUCUUUUGUGACUUAGUGGCGGACGGGUGAGUAACGCGUGGGUAACCUGCCUCACACAGGGGGAUAACAGUUAGAAAUGACUGCUAAUACCGCAUAACCCGAUAGGAUCGCAUGAUCCAGACGGAAAAGAUUUAUCGGUGUGAGAUGGACCCGCGUCUGAUUAGCUAGUUGGUGAGGUAACGGCCCACCAAGGCGACGAUCAGUAGCCGGCCUGAGAGGGUGAACGGCCACAUUGGGACUGAGACACGGCCCAAACUCCUACGGGAGGCAGCAGUGGGGAAUAUUGCACAAUGGGGGAAACCCUGAUGCAGCGACGCCGCGUGAGUGAAGAAGUAGUUCGGUAUGUAAAGCGCUAUCAGCAGGGAAGAAAAUGACGGUACCUGACUAAGAAGCCCCGGCUAACUACGUG